AAACGUUGUUUUCCAGUCAAGUCUUUUACCAGCGCU
rnacentral:ribozyme from 1 species